UACGUAGGGUGCGAGCGUUGUCCGGAAUCACUGGGCGUAAAGCGCACGUAGGCGGCUUUCUAAGUCAGGGGUGAAAUCCCAAGGCUCAACCUUGGAACUGCCUUUGAUACUGGGGAUCUCGAGUCCGGAAGAGGUUGGUGGAACUGCGAGUGUAGAGGUGAAAUUCGUAGAUAUUCGCAAGAACACCAGUGGCGAAGGCGGCCAACUGGUCCGGUACUGACGCUGAGGUGCGAAAGCGUGGGGAGCAAACAGG
rnacentral:rRNA from 1 species